rnacentral:piRNA from 1 species
UGUUCUGUAGGAAGGCAGGUGUUC